UCCCUAUAGGACACCACCUGAUAUGCCCUUCCAGCUCAAUUGCGAACUAUUGAGAAUACUCCCUGAUGAUAGUCUUCCAACCAGUUGUGCAUCCACCUUAUAGUAAGUUCGUCUAGGCUAUAUUUCUCUAGUUUGUUUAUGAGAAAGUCUUGUGAGACAGCCUUACUAAACUUGAGAUAUAUCACAUUUACUGCUUCCCCCCAUCCAAAAAACUUUUUACCCUGCCAAAGAAGGAUGUUAGAUUGGUAUGACAUUAUUUGUUCUUGACAAAUCCAUGUUGACUGUUACUUAUCACCUUAUUUUCUUCUAGAGAUCUAGGAAUUGAUUGAUUAUUUGCUCUAUUAUUUUUCUGGGUACCGAAGUUAAGCUGACAUGUAGAAUUCCCUGGGUUGCCCUCAUUCCCCUUUUUAUAGAUAGGUACUAAAUUUACCCUUUUGCAGUCCUUGGGUAUCUCUCCUGUCCUCCAUGAGUUCUCAAAGAUAACUGGUAAUGGCUCAGAUUAAUUGGGUUCAUAGCUAAUAGUAUUGUAGAGGCCCAAAAGACCACAUCAUCCAGUUUGAUUCUCCAGGAUGAAAAGAGAAGAGGAUUGAAACAAUGUUUUUUCAAAAUGAAGUCUAUUUCUACCUCUUUAAAUUACAAAGAUUGUGCAAAAAGAAUUUUCCAUAGAAGAACCUCCACUUCGGUUUCCAUAACAAAAUACUAAUAGAGACAAACACUUUCAAAGAAGUGAUCGUGAUCAAAACUGUAGUCAAACCAUCUUCCAGACUUCUCUCCCUAUUGGCCCUUCUAUCUCACUCUGCCUCCUGACUAAUUAAAAGCAGUCCAGUCCAAGUUGCAACAAUAGAUCUCCUCUGGCUGUUCCUAGGUGCUUCUAAAAAAUAAGCAAAUUCCCAAUUCACAUGGACUCUAUCUCAUUCCAUGUCCAUACACUAUGCAUGUGCUGGGGUAUACAGACCCUACAUCUGAAGGGGUUAAUGAGGAACACCUGAAUGAAUGGGUUAAUGAGAGACUGUGGGCCCAUCAGCCCCACCCUGUUACAUCUAAGCAAGGUGUCAAGCCUGGAGGGAGGAGAUGUAAAAAAGGAAAAGCCCAGCUCACUUAUGGCUGAUUAGAUGAGGGAGUAGACCUCUUGAGCUAAUUCACUGGUGCUAGAUACUGCCUUGAAGUUGCCUGGGUAGACUAUUUGGUGCUAGAACCUAGAGAUCCAAAGUAUCUGAGCCUCCUUAAGGCAGGUAGGCCUGGUGCAGGACUUUUUAUUUUUUGGUCUUCAUAGUUAGUUUUGUUUUGGGAACUUGCAAAUAUGUCAUCUGGAGAAGAGGCUAUGAGGAAGGCCUAGCUACGGGCCAUGGUAGGGAGCAGCUCAGGGAUACAUCAGAGUGUCUGAAGUAAACUAAUCUCUUCUGCUUCAGACAUGGUCCCUGGUUUGGCUCCUAGAAUGGAGGUCAGGCCUGUGUUCCCCUGCCUGAGGUGUGAAGACCUUGGCGCCAAGGGACCCUGGCAGGCCCAAAAAGCUCAAAGUUGGCCUGAACAUCUGAUGUUAGCAGAUCAAUGAUGUGGUGGACUGAGGCUUCUCUGGAAGGGGUUGGACUAAAAGUGGACUGGUAAGAGGGCCAAAUCACAGGAAGAGGCAGACUGCUGCAGAACCAAAGUGGCUGAGGCAGGAAGUACCAAAGGAGGAGGAGAGUCACUACACCAUGUACAGCCAUAGUGGUGUGUGUCUGGAACCCCUUUUCUGGAAGGCUUCACUUCUGCUAGCAUCAAUUUGUGUAUAGACCUUCUUGUUAAUAUUCUGAACAAUAAAUGAAAGAUGUCCAAGUGCUAACAGACUGAAAAAAGCACAAUAUCAGAUGUAGACAGAUCCAAAGGACUGGGAACAGUAUUUGAUGAAUAUAACAUUCAUAUACCUGUGACUUGUGGUUUUAUACUUUUUAGUAAGGCUGAAAUGUGAUGGUACUGAAGUUAUAUAUCUGAAAAAAAUACCGUAAUCACAUAAAAUCAUUUUAUGUGCAUUUAAUUAAGAAGGCACACCUUGAAGAAAACCCUAAUAUAAUUCAGAGCUUGUAAAUUUAAGAUCCAAACAUUUGUAUUAAUAUAUUUGCAACUGUUAUUUCAUCUUUUUGUUGCAUUGCACUGAAAAUAUAAAUUAAGAUAUUGACAUCA